GUAUAUGUGUGUGUCUGUGCCACCUUAUUAAAUACAGAGCUAUAUGUUUAUAUAUCCCCCUCUGCAGCUUGUUAUGGUCUAAUCUCACAUGUUGAUUUUGAGAGAUGAUUGUGGUUUGGCCAAUGUACAAUCACAACAAUAUCAGUCACUGACAAGUAACGUGAAUAGAUGGCAUGUCUUGUGACUAGACUCAAACAUGUCAGAGUGAGAUAUAUAUAGAGUGAUAUCGAAGGGGUGAGAGGGUGGUGCAUCUGGCUGUUUUAUAGAACAAGUGUUAAGAGUGAUGACAUUUACCCCUUCCUGUGCCCUCACACACACAUAUCGUUGGAGUCAACCAGUUUAUCUCGCCUUUGGAUUUUCCUGGUGCAGACCAUAAAUGCAAAACCCUUUCUGCCAGUUAGCACAAUACUGCCACACCCAGUAAUGCACAGUGCACUGCAUUUUAGACUUAGUUGUUCUUAUCACAGAGUUCGUCAAAUCACCACUACAUAUUACAAUCAUGUGCACUGAGUGAAUUUAACAAAUAUUAGAUCUACCUACACUAGUCUGGAACUUGUAGCCUACUAACCACUAGUACCCUAAGGUCUCUAUGGGUUGGCUUAUCGGUAUCUGUCUCCCAGACACACAGUCUCCUCCCACCCAGUCUCUCCCCAAAAGAAACUCAGAUCAGAACACAACCAAAAGUAAUAUAUGGACUAUUUUACAACCAUUUUACCACUAAUCUGAGUUUUGAUGUGAAGGGCACUGCUGCCUGUAGGCCAUCUAUGUUUCUCUCUCUAGGGAGUACUGAUGGCACAGCGGAAGUGGAUGCGGAUAUAACGUUUUCUGAAACCCACCCACAACAAUCGCCGCACAUUGAUGGGAUUUGAUUAAUCUGGACCGGGAACUCGUAUAGGCUUGUUUUGCACCGGUUAUUUGGUGUUUCAUUAGGAUCCCCAUUAGUUGUUGCAAAAGCAGCAGCUACUCUUCCUGGGGUCCACACAAAACAUAAUAUGGAAUGACAUAAUACAGAACAUAAUUUAGACCGGGUAAAAAUGGAUUGCAUUCGGUUUGGAACCUGGCUGCCUCCCGGGCGUGAACCAGGUGCAGGUUGACAUUUAUUGCCAUGAGUCUUGUCCUGGAGGCAGCACUGAGCGAUUUCCCAUUCGAUAGGCCAGCUGUAAAGUCAAAAUGGCUAUAUUGUUAGAAUGAAUGCAUUUAAAAUAUAUAUAUAUUUUUGGUCGCAAUUUAAGAUUAGGGUUAUCAGUGUGGUUAAGGUUACACGUAACGGGACAUAGACCGGUGUGCUGCGGCUCGGUAUAAUCGAAUCUGCCCACUGUAUUAUGAAAUGCUCGGAAAAGUUGUGAAAAUAAUCACGGUUUCUCGCACGUUUACACAACUCCACCUGUGCAUGGGAAACGCAGUCAUUCGUGAGUCUGUAAUACUGUAAAAAGAACACAAUUAAUGUUGGACCAGUGAGCCUCACAGGAGGUUGGUGACACCUCCUGUGAUGACGGACUCGUUGUAAUGGCUGGAGCGGAAUCGUGGAAUGAGUUCGCCGAACACAUGGUUUCCAUUCCGUUUCCAUGUGUUUGAUGCCAUUUCCAAUCGUUCUAUCCAUUAUUAUGAGCCGUCCCCCCCUCAGCAGCCUCCGUUGCCAUUGCCAAGCGCAAAGAAUGUACAGGCACACCAUUGAAGACCGAUACAAAGAAGCUGAAGCAGGUUGCAAAAUACAUAGCUGGCGGACUAAGAGCCCAAAAGACCAAGAGAAUGGAAACUGAGAAAGUUCAAAGAAAGGCCAAGCCCACAACUACAGUAGGGGACAACCAACACAAGUAAAUUCUUCCACAAGGCUCCAGUGAAAGAGGAUCCUACUGACAUGACUCCUGAGAGUGAUAUCAUCCCUCCUUUUAUGAGAGCUAGGAUAUACAUGUAUACAGUAAAGCCUGGGGGGAAAAGAAGAGGAAGAUGUUGAGGACAGUGUGGAAGAUGAGAAAGGAAUGAGCACUAGUUUUGCUUGUACAGUGUUUGUUUACAUCACAUGUAGAUUAGUGUUCUCUAUAUGUAGGCCUAUGAUGGCUCCGGUCCUUACUCUGUGUGUCUGGCUGAGCCCUUAGGUCCAGUGGAGCCGGUAGAGCCCUGCCCUCAGCCUGUGGAGACAGAGAUUGAGACCCUUGACAACAUCCGCAAAAAGCUGAAAAGUUGAGAGAUGGUGGAAGAUACCGUCUGUGUAUUUGUGUGUACUCCUUUGGAAAAUCAAGUGUUCCACCAUAGAUAAUACUAUCAGAGACUAGGAUAAUUGUUUAUUUUUCCAAGAUGGAAAUAUUAAUCAAUCAAUCACCAUGACAACUCUGGUGGUAAACCACAUGACUCCAGGGAGAAGAGGAAGGCAGAGUUUGAGACCUACCUGCGACACGAUGAACCGCUUCAACAAAGAUGUGGUGGAGGACACACACACAAGGUCCACCUCGAGUCUUUUAGCCAAUGGGAUGUUCCGGAAUUGGUCGUGUAUUGAACCUGCUGCCCACCCACUUUACCAUGGUGGCCAAGGAACACAUUGACACUAACUACCCCUCUGGCCUGCUCAACUGGCAAGAAGGGCCUUCAAUGUGUGUUUGGGGAAAUGUUCAUGCUCAACCCAGAUCUUCCCUGUGAGUAGAGGCUGGGACCACAGGCCGUGCUGAAGAGGAGGCUGGGCAGCCUCACUGCUAAAGACCACCAGGAAAUGACACUUGAGUGACAUGUAUCCAAAUUGAAGGCACCUUGCAGAAACUUUUGUGCAUGUUCGUCUGUUGCAUAUUCUUUUUUUCGCUGCGAAUGGAGUAUGUUUCUGAGGGAGGACCAUAUUCUUUUGAACAACUUGGGCUCUUAUGGUAUGACUUGUUCUCUCUAGACAUAAAUCAGGCCCAACUUGGUUUGGCUUGAUGGUACUCAACUGAAGCCUGUUUCCUUUGUCUUACCUGCAUGAUGCAACUUUGACCUCUGACCCCUGUGCUUGUCUGUUUCCAUCAGCUGUUUCUGUUGGUGCUUAGGUUGUUGCAGCUCUUGUCGACUGCUGCUCUCUCUGCAGCCCCUGUCACUGAAGCCCCCCCAUCAGCCAAGGGUACUGAAGGCUUUUGGGUCGUUCUACGAAAUGUGUGCAUUUUGCAUCCCUUUGAUAUUUUUAAGUAGAAAUUGUGCACCAAUAUUUGAUUUUAAAAGCCUUUUAUAUUACAUGACGUGCCCUUUAAUAGAGACCACAUGGAGUAUUCAAUAAAUCUGUUUUUUUUUACAUGAAUAAAGACUUGCUAAAGUGCUAAAAUCCCGCAUUUUGAUGUGUCCCUCCGUGCACCCUCUGUGAAUCUAGGAAGAUUUUAACCCACUUAAUCCCAACAUUUUGAUGUGUCCCUCCGUGCACCCUCUGUGAAUCUAGGAAGAUUUUAACCCACUUAAUCCCAACAUUUUGAUGUGUCCCUCCGUGCACCUUCUGUGAAUCUAGGAAGAUUUUAACCCACUUAAUCCCAACAUUUUGAUGUGUCCCUCCGUGCACCCUCUGUGAAUCUAGGAAGAUUUUAACCCACUUAAUCCCAACAUUUUGAUGUGUCCCUCCGUGCACCCUCUGUGAAUCUAGGAAGAUUUUAACCCACUUAAUCCCAACAUUUUGAUGUGUCCCUCCGUGCACCCUCUGUGCAUCUAGGAAGAUUUUAACCCACUUAAUCCCAACAUUUUGAUGUGUCCCUCCAUGCACCCUCUGUGAAUCUAGGAAGAUUUUAACCCACUUAAUCCCAACAUUUCUCCAAGUUGUUGCCAUUAUUGUAAAGCCAUAGUUAUUUUGUUGCUUUGACAGUCAUUUCUUGAGCUUAAUAUUUAUUUAAUCUGAUUAGUGAUUGAUUUACAUCUGUCCCUCAUUUUAAGGUCAACUGUGAACUGAACUCUCAUUUUAAUGUGGUGAAGCUAUUCCUUUUAAAAUAUUUUUUAAACAUCUAAUAGUCAAACCAUAGUGUAAAAGCAGGUGAGCUGGUUCUACCCUUUUUUGGGGGGGAACCAUGUUCUGAUGUUUUGUGGUGGGAAAAUGAGCAGGUCGAACAUAACAACCCUGUGUUACCCAUAGAUAGACAGGCUAGAAAUGUUUUAACGAUUCCAUUUU